AUAGCCUAAAGUUUUUUUUUUAGGUUUUACCUGCCCGGUGAUUUUUUAACGGCUGCGGUAAUACGUGUUAAAGUAGCAUAAUAAUUUGUCUUUUUAUUGAGGACUAGAAUGAAAGGUGUCACGGAGUUUUUUUGUCUUUAGUUAAUAAAGAUAAAUUUAUUUUUUGGUGAAAAAUCCAAAAUUGAAUUAAGGGACGAGAAGACCCUGUAGAGUUUUAUAAAAAUUUCAAAAUUUUUGAAUGUUUAUUUAGUUGGGGCAACUAAGGAUCAUAAAAAAUCCUUAAAUUAAGUUUAAGAUGUUAAAUAAAUAGAACUCUAAGAAAGAUAACUACCUCAGGGAUAACAGCGUUAUUUUUUCUGAGAGUACUAAUUGAAGAAAAAGUUUGCGACCUCGAUGUUGGACUAGGGUAAUAUUAAUAUGCAGAAGUAUUAAAAAAAAGCCUGUUCGGCUUGUAAUUCCUUA
rnacentral:rRNA from 1 species